GAAGCAGUUGCAAUCCCUCUCAGUUUGGUAUCAUCUACAAACUUAAUAAGCAUACUUUCUAUGCCAAUAACUAAGUCGCUUAUGAUACUUAUUUCCUUAACCUCACUAAUGCAUACAUGUGACAAAUGUGAUCAAGAAACUAAUACACAAACUUGACAAAAGUAGCCUUAGCAACUAUCCUACAUAGGCUUAGAGAGUCUCUACUAUGCAGAGAUAAUGGAAUUAAAAUAGGCCAAAAAUAAAUAUAGGGAUAUUACAUGAAGAUGCCUCCCUUAUUAUUUUAAAAUAAAUAUAUAACUUUAGUAACUAUUUCUGGUUAAUUAUGAUGUGCUUGUCUCUCUUUAGUAAUUUUAUUUAACAGCACCAAUUUAAGGUAAAAGUAAAUUUAAUUAAUAUGAAGAAAGUAGUGCUUUGGGGUCUUGAUUACUACUAUUAAUUUAUAUAUACAUAUUAAAGAUUGAAGUAUUUGAAGCUUAAUCUAUCACACUAAAUCCUUAUUGGCUCAACACUUGAGGUAACACCAUGUUUGAGAUUCUCAGGUCAUUUACAAUGUAUGUGUUCUAACUCAUACUCACUGCAUGUUGUUCUGUAUGUUCUAACUCACACACUGUAUUGUGCUCAUCCCUUCCACACCUCUUUCCAGAGAUGCAGUGCUGUGGAUAUAGGAAAGAGGCAUAGCAGGAGCUCCAUGCUUUUGGGAGGAAGACAGAGAAAUCUAGAAGAUCAUAAGUUAAGGGAGAAAAUUGUUUUUUUUAAAGUUCCUGUAACAAUAGUUACAGCAUGUAUUGCUCACUAUAUUGUAAUUGCAGCAUAUAUUGCUCACUUUUAGGCAACAGAACCUGUAGGAGUAGAACUGAAGUGUGUGAUUAUUGUGUACUCUGAAUGUUUGACACAAACAUGCUGUUUGUAAAUAAUGCAGAGGGCCAUCCCAGAGAGAGGAUGGAAAUAUGGUUAGAGAAAAAACAGGUAUUCAACCUGUGAAAUCCUAUUUUACGUUUAUCUAGCGUCUUUCAUCUAAAACAAUCCCCAAAUGACUAUAUGUAAUACCAUUGAAAUGCAACCCUGGCUGGAGUGGAAGGCAUCAACCAACUACCAUGCAGCAUAAUACCGAGGGGAAGGCCAAGUUUUGACCAAUUGUACCAGGGCACAAACUCUUCUGACAACAAACAAGAUGGGUUCUCUCAAGUCCCUACAGACCAGAAGAUACCUUUAGCUCCUUUGGUGAAACAGUAAAAAAAACAAGGCUGUUGCUCCAAGCAUCAAUUCUUUAGCUGGCUAUUACCUUCCAUCCAUGCCAGAGGUGACUGCAGUUCAGUGGAGAAUAAAGUGAUUCCUGCAUAUGAAGUACCCAGUCCUGUAAUCCUCAUCCUAUAGUCCUUUGGGAGCCCAAGUGACCUCUUGUGCGAAAAAGGACCAUUGAUUGGGCUGAGAUGCAUGAGGGUGACAGCCUAUAAUACAAACAUUGAAGAUUAACAGCCACAAUUUCAAAGGUGGUCUCUUUUUGGGUUCUCAUCUUGAGACAUCCCAGGCCUGAUUUUCUGAGGUGCUGAAUACCUGCAACGCCACUUGAAGUCAACAGGAACUGCAGUUGCUCGAAACUACAAUUAGCAGGAAAAUAUUGGAUUCCAAAGUUUUUCAGUGAAAAAACAUAGACCUUUUUUGCAAAAUGUUUUGCAUUUUCCUCAUUUUCACUUAGUUCUAUUCAAACCCUCUGAAAAUCAAGUCAAAAGUGGCUCAAAUUGUGCUCCCCAAAUCUUGAGGCAUCCUAAUUCAGAGAGUACUUCUGAAAAUUUUGGCCAUAAUACUUUCCUAAAAUGAACAACUUCAAAACACUUUUCUUAAUAUAGCAUGUAUCCAUGGUCAUGUGUUGUUGUUAAUAACUUGUAUUCCAGUAGCACUGAGGCUCCAACCAAGCCUGGGGCCCAGGUACAGUAGAAGCAGAGUAGGAGAUGAUGUAUUAUCCACAAAACAAAGGCAACAGUGAUGUUCCUUUAAACAUACUUGCAACAGAGGUUAAGGCCUAUCAACCUAUUUUGCUGUUUGAAUUUGUUUUUUUUUAAAUAAAGUUUGCUUUUGGACAUCUAUUAUUUCUAAAAGGGGUUAAAGCAUUGGGAAAAGUGUAAAUGGUCAUUGCUUCAACAACACAGCAACAUGUUUGCUAUGGAAAAAGCAUAAAAUGACAGGAAAUGGCUUAACGGGAGAAGUGUUCAAUUUUAAGGCUUCUGUUGACAGAAGUUGAUGAGUAAAAAUAUUGCAUUCAAUAAGGAGCAUGGAAUUUUGAUGCAGCCUAGAGGGACAGCUUUGUACUGUGGUGGUCUAAAUUGGGAUUUUACAUUAAUGUAACCAGUCAGAACCCUUGUUAAAGCUAGAGUCAAAAGGGAAGACUAAGCAAAAGCACCACAAGGUUUAUCUUUUGCUCAUCUGGAAGAGUUUAUUUUAAAAACAGAACAUUGUUUGCUGCUGUUGAAAUGAAAGUGUGAGAGUUGCAGCUUUCUUCUGAUGCCAUCUGGCAGAUGAUUUAAUGGUGUGUGGUAUUCACUAAUCCAAAUAACCCUGUGUGUGGUAACCAUUGUAUCUUUACUGAUCAUGCAGCUGAGUUGAUUGAACUUUAGAGGGCUCAUGCAAGACUAUCAAUGGUGGGACAGUAGAUAAUUUCAAAGGUGCGCACUGUUAAAGAAAUGUGUAUGAUACAAAACAUGUCUUCCAAAUCCAUGGCAUUUUUAUUAAGAAUCCUCCCUUUAUUGACCCUAAUUCAGAUUGUUGUAUGCAGUGCAGUUGUAACUGUGUUGGUCCCAGAAUAUUAAUAAAAAAUAUUACCUCA